rnacentral:lncRNA from 1 species
UCUUUAGCCUCUAGUGACUACAACCUUUGGCCCUAUCCUAAGAAAUGGUUACAAACAAUAGUCUUGGAUGUAGAGGAAUACAUAAUUACAUGUGUGGUCCAUGUGAGAGGGAAAGGUAAUGCACUCUUGACCAUAAGAGGCGAUAUGAGAUAAUAAUGCGUGUGGGCAUAUGAUAUGCUUUUGGUAUAUCAUGCUUUUGUUCCUUUGUUAUCUACCAAACUUUAAUGAUUUAUUUACUAGAAGUCUAGAACCUUGCAUAAGAAUAUACCUAAUUGAUAUUUUCGUAGAAUGGACCUAUUUUGACAUAACGACAGUAAGUUGAAAACCGACUGAAAAACACACACCAAAC